rnacentral:sRNA from 2 species
GACCUGCGGAAGGAUCAUUAAAAAGGAUGCUGGGAAACCGGCAUACCCCCACCCGUGUCUACCUACUUAGGUUGCUUUGGCAGGCCGUGGCCUCCACUGUGGGCUCUGCCUGCACGUGCCUGCCAGAGGGUCAAACUCUUAAGUAUUAGUAAUGUCUGAGCACUAUUUAAUAGUUAAAAACUUUCAACAACGGAUCUCUUGGUUCUGGCAUCGAUGAAGAACGCAGCGAAAUGCGAUAAGUAAUGUGAAUUGCAGAAUUCAGUGAAUCAUCGAAUCUUUGAACGCACAUUGCGCCCUGUGGUAUUCCGCGGGGCAUGCCUGUUCGAGCGUCAUUAUCACCACUCAAGCCCGGCUGGCUUGGUCUUGGGGCCCGCAGUUCUGCGGCCCCUAAAAUCAGUGGCGGUGCCGGUGGGCUCUAAGCGUAGUAAAUCUCCUCGCUAUUGAGUUCCCCUGGUGGCCUGCUAGAACCCCCCAUUAUUUUAGGGUUGACCUCGGAUCAGGUAGGGAUACCCGCUGAACUUAAGCAUAUCAA